rnacentral:lncRNA from 13 species
CGUGUGCAUAUGUUUAGUUUUAGUAGAAACUGGAAUUAGUUCUCCAAAAUGGUUGAGCCAAUUUAUACUUUCAAGAGAAAUGUAUAUGACUUUCAGUUGAUCCACAUUCGUACCAACAAGAUCUAUUGUCAAUCAUUUUAACUUUAGCUCUCUGGUGUUGUAUACUAGCAUCCCAUUGGCUAUAGUAUGAAUAUCCUUUCUAAAAUUCAUGUUGAAAUUUAAUUGCCAGUAUAACAAUAUUGGGAGGCACAGCCUUUAAGAGAUGAUUAGCUUAUGAAUGGAUUAAUGGGGUUAACUCAGGAGUAAGUUAUCACAGAAGUGGGCUCUGGCUAAAGGAUGAGCCCCAAUUGGCUCUCUGUCUCUCAGGUGUACUUCCCACUAUGUGAUGCCUUUCGCCAUGGAUUACCUUUGCCAGAUAUUGGGAGCCAAAACCUAUUUUAUAAGGAUACUAGGAGAAAUGCUCAUUUGUAUAAACACCAUCUAACUACUGCUACUCCUACUGCUGCUGCUGCUGCUGCUGCUGUCCUGAUGAAACUAAGCUUUAUG